rnacentral:misc_RNA from 1 species
GUGAACUUCUUGCUUAAGAUCAAAGCGGAGCUCGAGAACCUCACCAAUCUUCAGCCCCAAGAUGGUUGCGACGACCCCAACUUCGCUUACCUUUUCAAAGUGAAAUGCGGGAGAUGCGGGGAGGUGAGCCAGAAAGAAACGUGUGUGACCUUGAAUGAAACUGUUCCUCUCCAAGCGGGUAAAGGGACUACUAAUCUAGUUCAAAAGUGCAAGUUCUGUGGGAGGGAUGGAACUAUCACAAUGAUUCCAGGGCGAGGUCAACCAUUGACUCAGGAAACAAGUGAAUCAGGAAAGUCAUCUCCCUUGAUGUUAUUUGACUGCAGAGGUUACGAGCCUACGGACUUCGUAUUUGGACCUGGA